GGUCGGUGAUGUAACCUGGCAUGUAUUAUCUGACUCCAAAGUUGAAGAUAACUUCUUUAGCUGAGACCUA